rnacentral:rRNA from 1 species
AUUAAUACCGCAUACGACCUACGGGAGAAAGGGGGCAGUUUACUGCUCUCGCUAUUAGAUGAGCCUAAGUCGGAUUAGCUAGAUGGUGGGGUAAAGGCCCACCAUGGCGACGAUCUGUAGCUGGUCUGAGAGGAUGAUCAGCCACACCGGGACUGAGACACGGCCCGGACUCCUACGGGAGGCAGCAGUGGGGAAUAUUGGACAAUGGGGGGAACCCUGAUCCAGCCAUGCCGCGUGUGUGAAGAAGGCCUUUUGGUUGUAAAGCACUUUAAGCAG